ACCGCCAAAGUUGAGAACCAUUGCGUAGUUAGGGCCACCUACCCUUGACCAAUGGUGGUUAGAACUGGUGGAUAAAUACAUCUCUUGGGGGAGAAUGCUCAGCACAUUCUAUGAAAACAACUCAGUGUCCCAGUGGGAUUGAGCCUUUGUUACCCACAGUGGUGAUCAGUUAGAUAACGCACCAUUGAAUUAUCUUCCCUCAUUCUCUAUUUCGCUCUUCCAAGACCCACACUCCUGUUCCUGGGAUUAAUUACAAACUGAACUGUGUGCACUCAGCCACUUAUCUCAGGCUGCUUUUGAGAAGGAACCCAGGCUAACGUAGGCAGAAAAGCGUAGAGCUUAUAUCUGGCCCUCAUUUCCUGGUCCUCAUGGGAGCGUACGAAGGAAGGAAGUAUUUGCUCCCCGUGGAACUGUCUCACACGAAGUUGGAGGCUGACAAGUCCCAAGAUCUGCAGUUGGCAAGUUGGAGGAACAAGAGACCCAAUGGUAUCGUUUCAGUCUGUGUUGAGGGCCCGAGACCCAGGAGAGCCGAUGGUGAAACCUUGGGAGUUGCUCAGGGCUUGGACACUCGGAGAGCAGUCAACCAUCGACUGACAGGAAGUCCACCUGUAACCAGCAAAUUCAAAAACCAAAAAAAGCUUACUGAGAAAAGAAGGAUUGUUUUACAUUUGGAAAUCUCUUUAAUGUGUGACUUCAUAGAUGUCUGGAUUCUCCUGUUUCUGCAUUCAAUCUGUUGUGACACUCUACAGCAUGAAGCUUCUGGAAAACUCCAAUGUGUUUGUGAGAGAAUGAGAGUGAAAAUGGCAAAUGACAUUUUAAUAUUAUUAUGAAAGUAGUUUGGCCUCGUAUAGCUGUUACCACACAAAAUUGGGGUUCUCUGCCUGACGUGCAUGAAAAAACACAGUUAAUUAUGCUUUUGGGAAAAGAAAUCAGCUUCAUUCUGUGAGAUGGAUCUGCAGAGAGAACAGGGGGCAUGUGCCCUCAGAUCUGUCUCCUUGAUUCAGGAUUUGGGGUGAAAUUUGAGAGGUUAGGGAGAACAGGCUGGCACGUGGAAAUGCUGCUGGGGCAGGUUUUGUUCGGUGGGCUCCAAGGAUUUAUGGUAAGGUUUUAAACGUUUGUGACAGGUUCUAAACUUCUAUGAUGGGGUUCUAAACAUUUUUGACAAGGUGAGGAAGGAAUUUCAACACUGGAUCUUCCUGAAUGAGGGACCCCUCACUUCCAAUAAGAGUCUGACUUUCAAGUUCCAGUCAUGUCCUUCCUUGGGUUCUGUGGGAAGGAGAAUCUUGGGUUCUGGGGUCAUUUCAGGUCAAGAUUUCUCCUUUUGCACAUGCCCUGGCUACGUGACUUUGCCGAUUUUCUCAAAGGCAAUUCUUAAUUACUCUGUUGAUAAGAGAUGGAGUCUGUUGAAUUGGUCCUGGAGGGCCUGCGAUUGCAUAACUGCUGACAGGCUCUCAAGGUCUCUGAGGCAUCCAGGGCCUGCGCUUUGAGAAUUGAUGGUCUGGGUCCUUUCUGAGCUAAUUCUUUGAGCUAGCCCAGCGAGCAACGGGCGGCUGAGCACCUGCCCUCCCCCACCCCCUCAUCUCUUUUAGCCUUUCCCAAACAAUUCAUUCUUUUGAAUUAAGGCAUUAUUUUCUAUCAAAGUGCAAAUACCAGUGGGAGAGAUAACACAUUACGCUGUUACCAGCUGUCAAUUCCUUCGGGUGACCAAACCUAAUUCAUUUUAACUUGAGAGUCCAUGAGAACAGAAAAGAGAUGAAACAGAAAGAAGAAGGGCCAGAAAUUGGGUGUGGAAGGACCCCUCUCCCCAGCUCAGUGUCAACUUUUUCUAUUUCACAGCAGGGCCUAGGAGAAGCCUGGUUUCUGGAUACUUAGCUCACAGCUAUGACGAGAAGCCAUUCCCUAAUCUGUUUUAAUUGCUUAUUCUCAAGAGCUACCUGAGUUAUAGUACCCCUGUGGCCACUAACAUCCAAUUUCGGACUCAUUGAUCCAGGAAAUGGAAAGAGUUACAACUACUAAUAAAAAGCCAAUCAAAACAAAAGCCACUAAUUUCUGUGGAGAAGUAUUUUUAUCGAUAACCGUGCAGGAAGCUCUUUAUUAAUCUAUCUUCAUGGGGCUGGCCCCAUGGCCAAGUGGUUAAGUUUGCGUGCUCCAAUUUGGCGGCCCAAGGUUUCGGUGGUUUGGAUCCUGGGUGCAGACAUGUCAUCGCUCG
rnacentral:lncRNA from 1 species